GGUGCACAGAUUGAAAAGUUACUUCAAUGUGGUUUUAAUGCGAUCACCAACCUGCUCAUCGGCUUCCGGUACAACGCUCAACUUCUUAUCACUGGAUCUUCUUGUUGAUAGCGGUUGUUGCAUCUUCUCAGCUGAUACGACGUUUUUAAUGAAAUCCUGAAUUAUAUUGAAUGAUUGAAUGAAUUAAAAAAUUGUUUU
ensembl:antisense_RNA K07C11.14 ncRNA